CGCGUAGGCGGAUAUUUAAGUUAGAGGUGAAAGCCCAGGGCUCAACCCUGGAAUAGCCUUUAAUACUGGAUAUCUUGAGUUCGGGAGAGGUGAGUGGAACUCCGAGUGUAGAGGUGAAAUUCGUAGAUAUUCGGAAGAACACCAGUGGCGAAGGCGACUCACUGGCCCGAUACUGACGCUGAGGCGCGAAAGCGUGGGGAGCAAACAGGAUUAGAUACCCUGGUAGUCCACGCUGUAAACGAUGAGUGCUAGUUGUCGGCAUGCAUGCAUGUCGGUGACGCAGCUAACGCAUUAAGCACUCCGCCUGGGGAGUACGGUCGCAAGAUUAAA
rnacentral:rRNA from 1 species